CCUUCUUUCUGGGAGGAUUUCUAUUGCUUUUAUAUAGAGAUAUAUUCUUUUUUUCUAAGCCUUCACUUAAAAUACAGGGUGAACAGUCAGAUUGUCAGAGCAGGGCUUGGCGUGAAAGCCUCUUAUUAUUAAUUUUUUUUUCCAUGACAAACUGCCUCUGGGUUUUUGUUGUGUUGGUUUCCUGCCCUCCCCACGCCCCUGCUGGGAUAUGAGAAUCAAAGCUCAUCCCACAAAUGGAGAGAAGAGGCAGGUCACAGAUCAGCAUGCUGGUGGAUUCCUCCCACUGUCCCCAGGAUGUGCCAGUCAGUUUGUCCACCCUGCCUCUCCCAGCCCCGUCCCCUCCUAAGGGGUGUCUCAGGACCCGGCAGCCUACACUCAGCAUUGGAUGAUUCAUGAUCCAUCCACUGGAGCCAGACAUCUGCCAACCCUCAUCCUCCGGCCCCAGCGCCGUGGGAACAUCCUCUGUCUUGAUCCUGCACCUACGUGGGUACAGAACUCAAAAAGCAUCCCCUCCCGCGAUAGCAGGAGUGAGCAAUUGAGCAAAAUGCUUUGUCUCAGCUCCUGGACUUGCACAAAAACCCAAUAUGGACCACAGGACAACACAGAGCUACUGGGUGAACCAGAUCCGCUUUCCAUAAAAGGCAGUUUUAUGAUUAUCUUUGAUAUAGAAAUAGGUCACUCAGCAUCAGGGAUGGAUCAAAAUAUUUCUCUCCUCUGCCUAAGAGCAAUAAUUGAAUGAACAGCUCUUCUUUGUUAUUGAGGUUUUAAUCGGUAAAACCUUUCAUUGACAAAGCAUUGAGGUUUUGUCAAUGUUACGUCGCAUUUAACACUCAUUAGAUGCCCUCCCUCUGAAUCCGCAUCUCCCACUGUCUUUAAUUAGUUCAGGAAGUUCCUUGCAGUCCCCUCACUGCUAGCACUGGUCUGGUGGAGACAGAACUGGAAGGGAGACCACCUGGGGGAAGCAAGAGGAGCUGCAAAGACACAAAUGGGCCCUAACUGCUCUGCCCUCCUGCCUGGCUCGACAGUCUUCCUAUUGCUUCAAGAAAAGUCCGCACCUCUCAGCAUGGUGUGCAAGGCCCCCCGCAGUCUGACGUCCAUGGAGCUUCUGAACCUCCCCUCCUGCCCCUUUUCUUCUCUUCAGCCAGCUGGGUAUGCACUUACCUCAAACAGGGAUUCCCACAUAAUGCUGGUCAUGGGUGUUCUUCAAUAGAGUUCCUUAAAUUGUUGAUCUCUAGGGCGCUCCAGGGCCUUGUAACUGGAGACCACUCCCCUUCUCACAGCAAAAGUGAACCCACCUUUGCUAUUACCCUACUGUACAUGGGAGGGUGUAACUGACAUGAGAGGGUGGAAUCCUGAGUUGGACCUCAGACUCCCAGUCCUAGGACGAGGGUGGAGCCCCCCUGUCCCCACCAUGUUUGGGGGAGCUACUAACCUCUCUCACGUACCAUUCUUGGAGGGCAAAGUAUGGGAUGCUGUUGGAGUCUUGUCGCCUGGGCUCUGUUCUCUGAGUUCUUCCCCACCUGCUGCGCAGAGCUGGAAACUGCAGUCCUACUUGCCAGGCUCUGAGAAGGUGUGCACCAGUAGCCAUAGGGACUGGCUGUUGAUUCAAGCAGGUUGCUGGAAAUAAUGGGCUGACACCUGGAAUGGGGUAGGAUUUGUCCCACUAACCUGGUCCACUUUGCCAGGCCUUGAGGGUGGGGCACAACUUCUCUCAUGCCACCUCGGGAAUUCAUGGCUCAUGACAAGCACCUGAGAGAGGCUCUGUCGUCACCUUGCGUCCAACGCCUGGCACUGUCCAGUCCUGCAGUAAGAUGUGUGUGAGAUGUGGCUUGGACAGCACCAGGAAGGAGCAUGAACUUAUUACCUGAUUGAUAUGGUUUGGCUGUGUCCCCACCCAAAUCUCAUAUUGAAUUGCAGCUCCCAUAAUUCCCAUGUGUUGUGGGAGCGACCUGGUGGGAGAUCAUUGAAUCAUGUGGGAGGUUUCCCCCAUACUGUUAUUGGGGUAGUGAAGAAGUCUCAUGAGAUCUGAUAGUUUUGUAAGGGGAAACCCCUUUCGCUUGGUUUUCAUUCUCUCUUCCCUGCCACCACGUAAAUGUGCCUUUCGCCUUCCGCCGUGAUUGUGAGGUCUCCCCAGCCAUGUGGAACUAUGAGUCCAUUAAACCUCUUUUUCUUUAUAAAUUACCCAGUCUUGGUUAUGGAUUUAUCAGCAGCGUGAGAACAGACUAAUGCACUGAUACCUGGCAUGGCUGGGAGGGAUGCCUUCCUGUCUUGAAUUUGCACUUGUAUCACCUCUGGCCCCACCAGCCAGGGGGUUGGGGCCAAGAGCCCAGGGGCAGCUUUGGUCCUCAGUGAAGGCUGGCCCAGAGGCUCUAAUCUAUGACCCUAACCUAUUUUCUGACUGAA
rnacentral:lncRNA from 10 species